AUUAUCAUGAAAACUUGUAAUUACUGAAAGAUAAGCGAGAGAAUCGACCAAGGUGUAGCAGGUCAACAACAAUAAACUUGGUCGUCAUGUGGGCCUUCCUCUCUCCUUCGUGGAGAUGUUACAACAAAGCUUUGGGAAAUUGAACUGCUCCAUAACAGAUGAAAAUGACAAAUGGAGCAUGGAACAAGAGCUGCCACCAUCACUAUCACCAACACUACCACCACCAUGGCACUAUCAUCACUGCCACUACCACAGCACUACCACCUAUAGCAAGAUGAGUUAACCUUGCAAAAUUGAGCAGCUUCAUCACAACUGAAAAUGAUAACUGCAGGCUGAGACAAAGAGCUGACAUUGUAGAACACUAUAACACCACCACCACCACAGCACCACCACCACACCAGCACAUAAGGCAAGAUGAGUUAACGUCUAAACCUUGACAAAUUAACAACUGGAUCAUGGAGACACUGCUGUUACAGGUAUGUCAAUAUCUCAAUUUUUCUAGGUAUGUCUAACUGUCUAUCUUUAUGUAUCUGUAUCUCUAUAUCUUUCUAUCAGUCUUUCAAUACCUGCAUGUCAGUCAGUCUGUCUGUUUGGUGUCUAUAUCAUCUGUCAGACUGUCUUUAUCUAUACAAGUUUCUGUCUCAUCUAUAUCUAUGCUAUCAGUAAGAAAGAUAUUGGCAGUGAGUGAGGAAGGUGGGUUCACAAGAAGUGCAAUGGAAUGGAUGGAAGACUGCAAGAUGUUGCUGACUGUAAGUGAUAUGUAUGUGCAGGUAAAUAUGUGUCCAUGGCAAGACUGAAGAAAUUCAUCACUGAAGAUUAUCCCUGGACUGUGUGGAUGAGUUCUGCUGCCUGGGUGACAUGAUCAGUGCUGGUGGGGGUGCUGAAGGCUGCUGCGUUCUG